UUCCGGUUGAUCCUGCCGGAGGCCACUGCUAUCGGAGUCCGACUAAGCCAUGCGAGUCGAGGGGCUCUCUUUUGAGAGCACCGGCGAACGGCUCAGUAACACGUGGCUAACCUACCCUCGGGUGGGGGAUAACCUCGGGAAACUGAGGCUAAUCCCCCAUAGGUCUAGGUUGCUGGAAUGCGCCUAGGCCGAAAGCUCCGGCGCCCGAGGAUGGGGCUGCGGCCUAUCAGGUUGUAGUGGGGGUAACGGCCCCACUAGCCUACGACGGGUACGGGCUGUGGGAGCAGGAGCCCGGAGAUGGACCCUGAGACAAGGGUCCAGGCCCUACGGGGCGCAGCAGGCGCGAAACCUCCGCAAUGCGCGCAAGCGCGACGGGGGGACUCCGAGUGCCCUGGCCUUUGGUCAGGGCUUUCCGGAGUCUAAAAAGCUCCGG
rnacentral:rRNA from 1 species